ACAUGACAGCGCCAUACCUACCGUAAGGUAGGGACGGAACGUCACGGAUCCUGGUGCUCAGGAAAGCCGGACUGCCGAG
rnacentral:ncRNA from 1 species